rfam:Capsicum annuum cultivar Zunla-1 chromosome 3, whole genome shotgun sequence
AUCUUAUGAUUUGGGCAUUGUGUCAACUUCUUCUUGAAUCGCACCUAUGUCUCAUGAAGAGCUUCAUUCGGCAGCUGUCUAAAAUUAUUAAUCUCAUCCCUCAACU